rnacentral:rRNA from 1 species
AUUGAACGCUGGCGGCAGGCCUAACACAUGCAAGUCGAGCGGAUGACGGGAGCUUGCUCCUUGAUUCAGCGGCGGACGGGUGAGUAAUGCCUAGGAAUCUGCCUGGUAGUGGGGGACAACGUUUCGAAAGGAACGCUAAUACCGCAUACGUCCUACGGGAGAAAGCAGGGGACCUUCGGGCCUUGCGCUAUCAGAUGAGCCUAGGUCGGAUUAGCUAGUUGGUGGGGUAAUGGCUCACCAAGGCGACGAUCCGUAACUGGUCUGAGAGGAUGAUCAGGCACACUUGAACUGAGACACGGUCCAGACUACUACGGGAGGCAGCAGUGGGGAAUAUUGGACAAUGGGCGACAGCCUGAUCCAGCCAUGCCGCGUGUGUGAAGAAGGGCUUCGGAUUGUAAAGCACUUUAAGUUGGGAGGAAGGGCAGUAAGCUAAUACCUUGCUGUUUUGACGUUACCGACAGAAUAAGCACCGGCUAACUCUGUGCCAGCAGCAGCCGCGG